rnacentral:rRNA from 1 species
AGUGGCUACGAGGACGACGCUGGCGGCGUGCCUAAUACAUGCAAGUCGAGCGGACCAAAGGGAGCUUGCUCCUGGAGGUUAGCGGCGAACGGGCGAGUAACACGUGGGCAACCUGCCUGUAAGACUGGGAUAACAUCGAGAAAUCGGUGCUAAUACCGGAUAAUAAAAAGAACUGCAUGGUUCUUUUUUGAAAGAUGGUUUCGGCUAUCACUUACAGAUGGGCCCGCGGCGCAUUAGCUAGUUGGUGAGGUAACGGCUCACCAAGGCAACGAUGCGUAGCCGACCUGAGAGGGUGAUCGGCCACACUGGGACUGAGACACGGCCCAGACUCCUACGGGAGGCAGCAGUAGGGAAUCUUCCGCAAUGGACGAAAGUCUGACGGAGCAACGCCGCGUGAGUGAUGAAGGUUUUCGGAUCGUAAAACUCUGUUGUUAGGGAAGAACAAGUGCCGUUCGAAAGGGCGGCACCUUGACGGUACCUAACGAGAAAGCCACGGCUAACUACGUG